rnacentral:rRNA from 1 species
UACGUAGGGUGCGAGCGUUGUCCGGAUUUAUUGGGCGUAAAGGGCUCGUAGGCGGCGUGUCGCGUCGGGAGUGAAAGACCGGGGCUUAACCCCGGUUCUGCUUCCGGUACGGGCAUGCUGGAGUGUGGCAGGGGAGACUGGAAGUUCCUGGUGUAGCGGUGGAAUGCGCAGAUAUCAGGAGGAACACCGGUGGCGAAGGCGGGUCUCUGGGCCAUUACUGCGCUGAGGAGCGAAAGCGUGGGGAGCGAACAGG